GAGUUUGAUCCUGGCUCAGAACGAACGCUGGCGGCAGGCCUAACACAUGCAAGUCGAGCGCUACCUUCGGGUGGAGCGGCGGACGGGUUAGUAACGCGUGGGAAUAUACCCAGUUCUAAGGAAUAGCCACUGGAAACGGUGAGUAAUACCUUAUACGCCCUUCGGGGGAAAGAUUUAUCGGAAUUGGAUUAGCCCGCGUUAGAUUAGAUAGUUGGUGGGGUAAUGGCCUACCAAGCCUACGAUCUAUAGCUGAUUUGAGAGGAUGAUCAGCCACAUUGGGACUGAGACACGGCCCAAACUCCUACGGGAGGCAGCAGUGGGGAAUCUUGCACAAUGGAGGAAACUCUGAUGCAGCGAUGCCGCGUGAGUGAAGAAGGCCCUUGGGUUGUAAAGCUCUUUCGUCGGGGAAGAAAAUGACUGUACCCGAAUAAGAAGGUCCGGCUAACUUCGUGCCAGCAGCCGCGGUAAUACGAAGGGACCUAGCGUAGUUCGGAAUUACUGGGCUUAAAGAGUUCGUAGGUGGUUGAAAAAGUUAGUGGUGAAAUCCCAGAGCUUAACUCUGGAACUGCCAUUAAAACUUUUCAGCUAGAGUAUGAUAGAGGAAAGCAGAAUUUCUAGUGUAGAGGUGAAAUUCGUAGAUAUUAGAAAGAAUACCAAUUGCGAAGGCAGCUUUCUGGAUCAUUACUGACACUGAGGAACGAAAGCAUGGGUAGCGAAGAGGAUUAGAUACCCUCGUAGUCCAUGCCGUAAACGAUGUGUGUUAGACGUUGGAAAUUUAUUUUCAGUGUCGCAGGGAAACCGAUAAACACACCGCCUGGGGAGUACGACCGCAAGGUUAAAACUCAAAUGAAUUGACGGGGACCCGCACAAGUAGUGGAGCAUGUGGUUUAAUUCGAAGAUACGCGCAGAACCUUACCAACACUCGACAUGUUCGUCGCGACUCUAAGAGAUUAGAGUUUUCGGUUCGGCCGGACGAAACACAGGUGCUGCAUGGCUGUCGUCAGCUCGUGUCGUGAGAUGUUGGGUUAAGUCCCGCAACGAGCGCAACCCUCACUUUUAGUUGCCAUCAUUAAGUUGGGCACUCUGAAAGAACUGCCAGUGAUAAGCUGGAGGAAGGUGGGGAUGACGUCAAGUCCUCAUGGCCCUUACGUGUUGGGCUACACACGUGCUACAAUGGCAUCUACAACAGGAAGCAAAACGGCAACGUUAAGCAAAUCCCGAAAAGAUGCCUCAGUUCGGAUUGCACUCUGCAACUCGAGUGCAUGAAGCUGGAAUUACUAGUAAUCGUGGAUCAGCGUGCCACGGUGAAUGCGUUCCCGGGUCUUGUACACACCGCCCGUCACACCAUGGGAGUUGGUUCUACCUUAAGGCAAGGUUUUAAACCCUUGACCACGGUAUAGUCAGCGACUGGGGUGAAGUCGUAACAAGGUAACC
rnacentral:rRNA from 1 species